rnacentral:rRNA from 1 species
AUACGGAGGGUGCAAGCGUUAAUCGGAAUUACUGGGCGUAAAGCGCGCGUAGGCGGAUUAGUAAGUCGGAUGUGAAAGCCCUGGGCUCAACCUGGGAAUUGCAUUCGAUACUGCUUGACUAGAGUAUGGUAGAGGGAAGUGGAAUUUCCGGUGUAGCGGUGAAAUGCGUAGAUAUAGGAAGGAAUACCGGUGGCGAAGGCGGCCUCCUGGACCAAUACUGACGCUGAGGUGCGAAAGCGUGGGGAGCAAACAGGAUUAGAAACCCCAGUAGUCC